UAUGAGUUCAGUUAGUUUUUAUUCUUUCUGGCUGGCAGUUGAGGAGAAUCCUGGCUCGCCUUUUCUAACUCAUCCGAUUGUGAUGCCAUUAAAUGCUAACCUUAAAUAGGAUGAGUCAAUAGUUCCAUUACUCGCAAUAAUGGUUGCUCAUGAAAUGUCUAAAUUUCAUUAGUUUUUGUUUGUGCGUAGUUAUAACCUUUGUGACGAAAGCUGGUGGCUUUUCUUUUGUUUUAUGAUGUAUCUGUAGCGGUGGAAGUAAAGGUAGAGGACUGUGGUAAAGGAGCUAGAAAAUAAUUUGCCUUCUGAGAUUAUUGAUAAGGCCUUUGAGAUAUUUGAAAAAGAUAUUGCCAUUGCUUUCGAGUAUCAUUGUUUUUAUAUUGGGAUUUAUAAGGUUCUGCUCUUGAUAAUUUAUUUGGCUCUACAAAAUGAUUUGUUUUCCUUCGUUGCAAAGAAUUGCUUUUAUUUUUUCUUAAAAAGUAUUGUAGUAAUUGUUUAAUGUUAAAAUAGUGACCAUUAUAGCUUUCUUGGUCUGUUGGGUUCUCUAAUUUGGCUUUAUAGUUCAGUUCUGCAUAUUCUUAAAAUGUUGUUAGUUGAUCUACUGAAGAGAAUUACAUUAAAAAAAUGUUUCCCAUGAGCAGAGAAGUUGCAGAACAGAACAACCUUCAAGAAGUGUAGUUUCUCGAAAUGGAGUCUUUUUCUUUCUUUUGUAGUGUUUUGCUGAAAUGCUCUUCACCACCAGAUAAAGUUAUUCACUUUAACGAAAGAUUGCAUUCAAGUUUUAUUACCUUUGUGCAUUUGUAAUAUGUUUGUAUCUUCACUUUAGCUGUCUAUUUUGGAUCCGUCCAAGGUGAAAGUUAGCAUUAUUACAAUUUAUUUCACACGACAGAUUUAUGAAGAACAAAAUUUUGAUAUGAAGAUUUGAAUGGAGGGUAAGUAUACAAAAAAAUUUUGAACUUCUCCUCCAUUGUUCUCUGAAGCUCUUCGGUCGAACCUUAGGUCUUUCCCUUGGAACUAUCUUAAGACCUUAAAAAACUAUAUAUUUUAUAUAAACAAAGGGGGAAAACCUGAUCUGGCACCUUCCAAUGACCAGCAAUUAGAUUUAUCUCCUUUCUCUUUUUUUUUUUUUGCAAUUUUCCCUAUUUUUUCCUUUUAUCUUACUUAAAUAAAAUACAAAAAACCAAAGAAAGUUGCAUCAUUUCCCUGGUUGUUGCUCCAUGAUGCCUGCCAUUUCUGAAUCCUACGAGAUGCCUCCCCAACAGAAUUCUAGGAGACGCCUCCACAAUGAAAAGUCGCUUUUAUGAGGAGAAGAUUAUAUCAUAUUUAGUUGUUUGUUUCUAUCAUUGCUUAAUGCACAGAAUGACGGGCAGUUUCUAAUGUUGUUGGAGUAUUUGACUCUACCAGUACUGAUGGAUUUGUACCCUGGAUUCUUUGUGACCUGCACACCGAAUUAACAUCAGUUUGUGGUUUAAUCCUGAUAGUUUUCAAUGCUCUAUAAUUAAUCUAACUAAGAGGUAAGUAAAGCUCCUCCUCAAUAAGGCUAUUAUUCAUUGUGGAGGCGUCUCCUAAUUUCUUCUGGUUUAAAGAAGUUGUAACUAAUUCCUUUUUUCUCAAAAAAUCAAAGAGUGUCCUUAAAUGACUGUCAAUUAGAUAUAUCUGAAGUUGGUGUCGUCGAGAAAUGGAGAGAGAUUUCAUCAGGCUUGACUGUAAAACAAGAAAAAUUGAGGCAGGAGGUGAGACUGUAAAAGGUGAGGUUCAUAACUUUGUUGGAGAAAGUAGAGAGUAGGAAAGUUUUGUAUGGAACUUCUUGAAUAUUUAUCUUCAAAUGCUGAAAUGGGAGUGAAUGGCGAUCGCUGAAAUGGGCUUGAAUGGCGAUGGACAAAGCGGAUGAAGAGGCAGAGAGAAGAAGCAAGUUCUUGAACUGUUUGAUACUGAAGAAGUUUUCUUGUACUUCUCAAUUGAUAAGGUCUAUGUUCUUCUAUUCAGGACUUUUGUUGAACCUUUAGAUCAUUGACAGUACAUAGUCUGAAUUCUACUAUGUAAUUUCUGAAAAAUUAAUUUGUGAGAGAUUUUAGUUUGUUUCUUGGAUUAUAUAAUCAUGAAAAGUUUUAAAGGAAAAACUGGAAAUGCUUAAAACAAAAAAAGACUUCAUGUGUUGAGCCUUAAAAAAACAACCUUUUGAGCUAAGACAGUAUGAGUAUUAAAAAGGAAAGGCCGAAAGGCUGAAGGAGGAGGGGGUGGGAGCAAUAUAUGACUAAGUACUUAUGGUAUUCCCUGCAUAAUUAUGCAAAAAAAUAUGAUUUCUUCUACUGGGCAUGUCAAGAUUAUUCUUCUCUUUUUCUUUUUCUUUUUAUAUUGUGCUUCAAUUUUUCUCUUGAUAAUGUCAUUUAACUUCUCCUCUUUAUUUGAUUGCCUGAGCCGACGACGAAUUCAAAGCCUGAUUCAACCGCGAAUUCCAAAAUUCCUUUUUUUGGUUUCCAACUCAGUGUUCGGUGUCCGCAUUGGAGCUUGACUAAAUCCAAUCGCGCGUUGCAGGGCCCAUUUAGGGGCAGCGCUCUCAACAGGAUUUUUUCCAAGGUGAUAGCUGGUGAUUGUGAUGAUGUUGGCCUCAAAAGCUCAAAGUACUGCCAAAAAUCAGUAUUACCCUUCGUAAAAGAUAGGAAAGCAAGAGCCCCAAUUAGUGGUGCAUUAAUGUAAGUAGCAGGCUCUGAUUGCUGAUAAUUGUUCCUAUCAUCUUCAAAGUUAUCUUUACUAUCAGGACCACCCACGAUGGCUCCGACCAGGACAU